rnacentral:lncRNA from 1 species
UAAAAUCAGGUACAAAAAGAAUUUUUUUACUGUUUCUUUAUCCAGCAAAAAUGCACUACCAGUAUGUGUGAUAUCAGAUUUUCCCCUGUAGGUAGAUGUACCAUGUCAUUCUUAGAUUUGUCUGUAUUUCUAGUGUUAGCUAACAGUUCUAAUUUUGAGAUAAUGUGAUGAGUUGCUCCUGAGUCAACAAUCCACUGUUCUUCUUUUUGGUUGGAAUUAGACACUAAACAAGUGACAUUACCUGCCAUGUUAGCCUGGUGAUCACCACAAUCUUUAUUUAGCAAAUUGAGAAUUUGAUUGUACUGUGCACCAGCGAAGUAGUAUCCUUUGUUUUCAGCUGUUGUCUGUCCAUGGCCAUCUUCUUGUGAGCAUGUAUAACUAAGUAUAACUUUUUUUUUCUUUUGUAAAAAAUGCCACUAAGAAUAAAACCAACAAAAUAUUUAUGUGAAAAUGUAAUUUUAACAUAAAGAUUCAUAGUAUUAGUAUAACUAAUUAUAAAUAAUGGAGUAAAUUUUAUAUUAACAACAUGAAAUAAGAUGUAAAGAGUGAGAAGAAGGAAGACAAACAGGGAAAAAAGAAUUCACAUCCAAGUUAACUCGAAAGAGAAAACCAGGAAUUGAAUUUGGUAGUACUAUGAAUUUUUAUCUGCCAUGUUGUCCUUGUCUUGUGUAAAAAAAAAAUCUUACAGUAUCUCUGUCAAAUUAUUUACAGCAGCUGAAGUAAUUCUUUUAGUAAUUAAUCUUAUUGCGAAGGACGAAUAAUGAGAGAAAAGAUUGAAAAAUACUCUUUAGCUUAAUUAAUGCUAUUACACUACUAGGACGACAUUCGUUUCAAAAAUUAAAUACUGGGUGUACUGAAUUCUACUUUUAACCCGACCAACUUUUUUUCUCAUUUAUAUCUAAAUGUAUUUGAUAUAUCGCAAAAAAUAUUUUUCUUCAUGAAGGUUUAUUUAGCCUCAUCUGUUUACACUUAAUGGAGGUUGCAUCUUAAUUAUUUAGAUAUCAGAAUUAAAUGCAUUUGCUUUUAAAGUUUAAAUUUUAAUUAUUCAGAUCUUAGUCAUUAAGUGUGUUUAUUUUUUUAACUUCACAACCACUUAAUGAGUCUGGAUAAAUCUGUAUGAUUAAGAUCUAUAACAGAUACUUAAUUUCAUUAAUAUGCUAUUACAUAUUAAUUAUUAAUUAUCGCCACCGCCUGUCAUUAUCAACUACCACCAUGCCGCCGCCGCCACCAUCAUACUCAAUCACCCCCACUAGCCCCCGUCGGCACCACCACACCACCACCACCACACCACGCCACUAUCAUCCUCACUCAUACCCGCCACCAUUAUCGAUCAUCAUCAUCCAUUAUCCCUACCACUCCGCCACAAUCAUUCUCAUCCAGAAUCAACACUCAUCCACCUCAAUUACCACAACUGAUCAUCCCUCACCAUCAACAGCAACCACCUACACUGCCCAUCAUUAUAACCUACCACCACCCUCCUCAGUCACAACUCCUACCAUUACCCACCAUUAUUAACUAUCACCACCAUCAUCCUCAAUCACAAUCGCCACUACUACCAAUCAGUACUAGCUACUAGUACAAAUCACCACCACCAACCUCCGCCUCUAGUCGGCAUUCACCUGUUACCCCAUCACAACCAACAAUUAUCAUAUUUUAAAAAAUUAUAUAUUUUAUUGAUAGAAUAUUAGAUUAGUUAGUAUUUCAUUUGAAUUUUAUGUUUAUUAAAGAUAAAUUUUAUAUAUUCAUAUGUUAAAAAUAAAACAAUCUUAAUUAUUUAGUAUUCGGGUCUUAAUACACAUCUUAAUAUAUUUAGACGUGUAUUCAGAUUCAGAUGUGUAUUCGAAUUCAGACAUCUUAAUCUUUAAAAAACAAAUGAGCCCUUACACUUCUUUGAGCUUAACCAAAAGGCAAAAGGUAAUUUUGCUCCCAAAAAUAGAGCUGUCAAUAUGGGUCGGGCCAAUUGGCAGGCUGGACUAGGCUAGUCCACCAUUUCGAUGUGCUUUAUAAUGGUCAGCCUACCCCAGCUCUAUGUGGGCCACGGGUUCCCACGGGCCGAACCAUUAUUUUUAAAAAUAUAAUUUUAUUUUUUUCUUUAGGUUCUGACCUACAAAAAAGAUAAUUAUUUAAAAGUUAAAAAAUAUCUUAUUGGAAAAAAAUUGCAAAAUUUAAUAACUUUUAUAUUGUUUCAAUAUAUCAUAAUAAAUACUAAAAAGUAAAAGACAUGACUAUAUUUCAUUAAUUGAAAGUCGAAACUUAAAACAAACUAUUCAAGAGAACUUCAUGAUGCAUAUGAGAUAUCCAACUCAUCAUCUUCAUCAAACACAUUUGAAUCCGCUUGUGACAAUGUUGUCUUAACAUCUUCACUUUCAUCAAAAAUUCAUAUGCAAUAUUAAUUAGUUAAAUAUUAAAAAUAAUUAAAUUUUUAAAAAUUAAUAAUAAUUAAAUUCAUAUAAAGAAAUUACCAGUUUGAGUUCUGAAAAACUGGUGCAACAAAUUUCGAGUAGUAACAAGUGUUUGGACAUUUUUAGAAUAAAUGCAACUUCUAUACUUUGUAAGAACACGCCACUAAUACUAAAUGUUGAUUCCGAUGGUAAAAUGGUAAUAAGAAUGCUAAAUACAUCACGCACCAUAAUUCAAAGAUCGAGAUAUUCUCUAGAAUGGUCCUUCCAAUACAUGACAACAUCAUCUCUUGAAACUCUCGAGAUCAAGUUUUGGUUCAUCUUAGUAAAUAUCCAAUUCUGACUUUCCAUCUCUAAAGACAGUAUACUUUUUAUUUUCUAUAUAUUUUAAAUAAAUAUUUUAUUAGGCCCACGGGUCCCGGCCCAGCCACAGUCAAGCUUCAGGGGCCACGAACUUACUCGGAUCAGUCUUAAAAACCUCGUUUUUAAACGGGCUCCAAAAUUUUUAGCUCAAUCCUACUAAAGAACGGGCUGAGCUGGGCUGGCCCAACGGGUUAAACCCAUAUUAACGGCUCUGCCCAAAAAAGUAAAAUCUUCGAAAGGAAUUUUUUACACUCGAUAGAAAACCUUAGUAUCAUAUUUAUUUUAAAUAAAUACCAUUUUAAAAUAUUACAUCCAAUAAAUAUAUUUUAUCUUUUAGUAAAUAAUAUAAAUAUAGUUACAUCAUACAAUUAAGAGACCAUAUAUGCUAAAUAUUAUUUUUCUCUCUCCCUUUUUGUAUUUUCUCUCACAUAAUUACUGCAUAUCUGCAAACCCCAAUACAAUCUCUUUCUGUUUGCAUACAACUACACUUUCUUUUCUCACAAACACUAGUUUCUUAACUAUUCUCCCACUCAAAUUCUCAUUUUUCUGCUCCGCGUCACCAACGUGUAGAUGGAGUGAAGAUGAUAAAAAACUCAAGCAAAUACCCUCCAACAACAAGCCCAUCUCCAAAUAACAUCUACGACAAAGGGUUAUAUUUCACUUUCUCAAACUAACCACUGGUGUUGACCAAAAUCUCCUUUAUGAGAUUUGGAUCAGCAAUUGCCAGUCUAGGGUUAGGACCAAACCAAUAAAGAAAAUUCUUACCAUAAAUCGUUGACCAAUAAUAGUAGUAAGGCAUGACACGAGAAACUAUGUCAUGGUGAUGGGUAAAAGAACUGGACUUUGAUUCAGCUUCUGCUAUAAUUACUCUUCUGAUCUUUGCUGUGUUGUUGAAGAUUGGGCUGUAAGCUGGUCCAUUUAUGCCUUGUUUGCUGAAGUGCUCUCGAACUUUUAAAGGGACCCAUAUGAGGUCGUAAACGAGUUUCUUUCCUCAAUCCCAAUCGUCCAUCGGUUUUGAAGGAAGUUUCGGCGAACAAGCAUUACAGUGAAACUACCGAUCAAUUAAUUAAACCGGCGAUGGAAAUGAAGGAAGGGUCUGUAAUUCAUCAAGUCCUCGUUAAACUUCUAAAUUUCAGUACCCAUCGCCCAAAUCGCCUAUUUGUAUUCAGUUAUAUUCGAAUGUAUUCUUCGGCUGUAUUCACUUGUAUUCAGGUUUAAUCAAUUGUAUUUAACUAUUUUAUUCAGCAAUAGUUAGUAGUAUUCAAAUGUUUUAUACAACUGUAUUCAGUUGUAGUUAGUUAUAUUCAACUAUUUUAUAAGUUAGUUGUAUUUUGUUGCAUUCAAGAGUUUAUUCAGCUAUAUUCAGUUGUAUUUUUAUUAUAUUCAAGUGUUUUAUUCAGAUGAAUUAAGGUAUAUUUUAUUGUAUUUAACUGUAUUAUUCAUAGGUAUUUCUCUUUAUUCAGCUAUAAUCUUUAUUAUGUAUCUUUCAAAUACAGAUUAAUGAGGGAUCGUUUUAGUUCGCUGAAUUAAAUUGGAAGAAUAUCAUAUGAUUUUGUUUCCUUCCG